rnacentral:rRNA from 1 species
GUAUCUUCGGAUAUGAGUAGAGCGGCGGACGGGUGAGUAACGCGUAGGAAUCUACCUAGUAGAAGGGGAUAGCCCGGGGAAACUCGGAUUAAUACCGUAUACCUCCUUUGGGAGAAAGAAGGCCUCUCUUUGAAGCUUUCGCUAUUAGAUGAGCCUGCGUAAGAUUAGCUUGUUGGUGAGGUAAAGGCUCACCAAGGCGACGAUCUUUAGCGGGUCUGAGAGGACGAUCCGCCACAUUGGGACUGAGACACGGCCCAGACUCCUACGGGAGGCAGCAGUGGGGAAUAUUGGACAAUGGGCGCAAGCCUGAUCCAGCCAUACCGCGUGUGUGAAGAAGGCCCUAGGGUUGUAAAGCACUUUAAGUUGGGAAGAAAAGUUAUUGGUUAAUACCCAAUGACCGUGACAUUACCUUCAGAAUAAGGACCGGCUAAUUCCGUGCCAGCAGCCGCGGUAAUACGGAAGGUCCAAGCGUUAAUCGGAAUUACUGGGCGUAAAGCGCGCGUAGGCUGUUAUUUAAGUCGGAUGUGAAAUCCUCGGGCUCAACCUGGGAACUGCAUCCGAAACUGAAUAACUAGAGUAUGGGAGAGGUAAGUAGAAUUUCCGGUGUAGCGGUGAAAUGCGUAGAUAUCGGAAGGAAUACCAGUGGCGAA